GACGAACGCUGGCGGCGUGCUUAACACAUGCAAGUCGAACGGAAAGGCCCUGCUUUUGUGGGGUGCUCGAGUGGCGAACGGGUGAGUAACACGUGAGUAACCUGCCCUUGACUUUGGGAUAACUUCAGGAAACUGGGGCUAAUACCGGAUAGGAUCUCCUGCUGCAUGGUGGGCGUUGGAAAGUUUCGGCGGUUGGGGAUGGACUCGCGGCUUAUCAGCUUGUUGGUGGGGUAGUGGCUUACCAAGGCUUUGACGGGUAGCCGGCCUGAGAGGGUGACCGGCAACAGUGAGACUGAGAUACGGCCCAGACUCCUACGGGAGGCAGCAGUGGGAAAUAUUGCACAAUGGGCGGAAGCGUGAUGCAGAAACGCCGCGUGCGGGAUGACGGCCUUCGGGUUGUAAACCGCUUUCGCCUGUGACGAAGCGUGAGUGACGGUAAUGGGUAAAGAAGCACCGGCUAACUACGUG
rnacentral:rRNA from 1 species